rnacentral:rRNA from 1 species
UGAAGCUGGAAUUGCUAGUAAUCACAGGUCAGCAUACUGUGGUGAAUACGUUCCCGGGCCUUGUACACACCGCCCGUCACACCAUGAGAGUUGAGAAUACCCGAAGCCCAUGUCAAAGUGGUCGAAGGUAGGCUUGAUGAUUGGGGUGAAGUCGUAACAAGGUAAC